ACGAACGCUGGCGGCGUGCUUAACACAUGCAAGUCGAGCGGUAAGGCCCUUUCGGGGGUACACGAGCGGCGAACGGGUGAGUAACACGUGGGUGACCUGCCCUCAGCUCUGGGAUAAGCCUGGGAAACCGGGUCUAAUACCGGAUAUGACUCCAUGACGCAUGUUGUGGGGUGGAAAGCCUUGUGCGGCUGAGGAUGGGCCCGCGGCCUAUCAGCUUGUUGGUGGGGUGAUGGCCUACCAAGGCGACGACGGGUAGCCGGCCUGAGAGGGCGACCGGCCACACUGGGACUGAGACACGGCCCAGACUCCUACGGGGAGC
rnacentral:rRNA from 1 species